AGUGAACGCUGGCGGUAGGCCUAACACAUGCCAGUCGAACGGCAGCACAGUAAGAGCUUGCUCUUACGGGUGGCGAGUGGCGGACGGGUGAGGAAUACAUCGGAAUCUACUUUUUCGUGGGGGAUAACGUAGGGAAACUUACGCUAAUACCGCAUACGACCUACGGGUGAAAGCAGGGGAUCUUCGGACCUUGCGCGAUUGAAUGAGCCGAUGUCGGAUUAGCUAGUUGGCGGGGUAAAGGCCCACCAAGGCGACGAUCCGUAGCUGGUCUGAGAGGAUGAUCAGCCACACUGGAACUGAGACACGGUCCAGACUCCUACGGGAGGCAGCAGUGGGAAAUAUUGGACAAUGGGCGCAAGCCUGAUCCAGCCAUACCGCGUGGGUGAAGAAGGCCUUCGGGUUGUAAAGCCCUUUUGUUGGGAAAGAAAAGCAGCAGGUUAAUACCCCGCUGUUCUGACGGUACCCAAAGAAUAAGCACCGGCUAACUUCGUG
rnacentral:rRNA from 1 species